rnacentral:lncRNA from 1 species
UCCCCACCUUCGAAUCACCCUGGAUCCACCGGGGCUGGACCCCGGCACAGGGGUUUCAAGAUCAGUCACACUGGAGAGGCCACAGGAUAAGCUAACUUGGGAAUCGGCAUGCUGGGCUUGCGCCCACUGGGUCCAGGCCCACUGCUGAGGUCAGAAGCCCCAUGCGACCCAGACAGGAUACUCAGAGUAGCUGAGCUUCUUGGUAAUGUGUAAUGUGCAAUGACUUUUCUCAAAAUCCUCUUUUUUUCUUCUACCUGUGUCCUCUGUGCCCCACAGACCUGCCAGAAUCUCCCCUCUCUCCUCUUUUCUCCCAAACUGGCAUUACACUCCCCGCCAAGGAAUUGUCAGCAACAGAUCCUUCCUGGGAGGGGCAGGGCGGGGAGGGAAGCCAAGUGGCCGUGUCAGUGCAGGUCCCAGGAAACAGAUGGUAGGAAGCAGGUCUCCCAAAGAGGGCUUACAGUUUCAGUUGCAGAGGGACAGGUAAAUGCUGGAAGCAACGGGAUAACCCACUCUUGGCCUGAAGGUAAGAGGGGAGGAAGCCAUUGAGCAGAAGCCGAGGUUCUGUGGAGAGGGCUGCCCAGGCCGGGGCCACGGUGAUCAAUUGAUGAAUUCACUCUCCUGCCUCUGCUUCUGCUGCCAGCCCCACCCAAUGGGCCACCCAGCUGGAAGUCAAAGGACAUGAAGGGCCUCUGAUGAAGCGCACACAGGUCAGUACAGUGCAGCACCAAGCCAGGUAGGAAGAGGAGGGGGGCCUGGAGAGACAGGGACCAGACAUCUGAGCCAGGAUGCUCCUUGGUGGUGGCAGAGGGGAAAAGUGGACUCUCAGGCCAAGCUGACACUCAGACACUCAGAUCAAGCAUCAUUUUUGCUUGGAGCGAAUGAUUAAGAACAAACAAGUAUAUAUAUGUAUGUAUAAACAGGUUUCUAAUAUUAGAUUUAAUUCUGUUAAUAGAAUUAAAAUCUAAUUGUUUGGUUAAUUCUAUUAACCAGUGUAUAAAGGGGCUUCCUUGAUGGUUCAGUGGUGAAGAAUCCACCUGCUAUGCAGGAGCUGCAGGAGGCCUGAGUUUGAUCCCUGGGUCGGGAAGAUCUCCUGGAGGAGAACGUGGCAACCCACUCCAGUAUUCUUGCCUGGGGAAUCCCCAGGGAUAGAGGACCCUGGUGGGCUAUUCCAUAGGGUUGCAAAGAGUUGGGCAUGACUGAAGCGACUUAGCAUGCACACGUGCAUCAGUGUAUAAAGAAAAAGACAAAGGACAGUGAAUUAAAAAAAAAAAAAUGCCUUGAAAAGAAAGUUCCGGAAGAUGAGAGAUUCAUCGGGAAGCUAAGAGGAACCCGGAAAGGGCCUUGACUAUGAGAACCUUCAGAGCAUGGAGCCACCUGCCUGGCACCAAAGAAGCCCAGUGGUUGACAAAUGCUGUCUCAUUUUCAUUCAUUUGCACAUCCUAAUCUAAGAUCCCAACCUCCAGAUUCCCUAGACGAAAAGAAAAUAAUUAGUGCAAUCUUCCACAAUUGUUUUUGAGCCUCAUUUGCUGCCUGGAACCUGCGUAGGGAGAUGUAAUUGCAUUCUACACCACCACGUGAAAGGAAGGGGUUGAGGCCAGGCCUCAGCCUGAGUGUGGGAAGCUCCAGCUCCAAGACUGACCAGAGGCUGAGGAGGCCUGGAGGUACAAGGGGUUCAUAGGCGAGAUUUCCAACAAGCAAGGUUAAUGAAGGUGGGCAGAGAGCAUGGUGGAUGGGCUGCUCCAGACGCCCCUGUAAGCUCAGAGGUGCUGAGGGGAACCAGACACUCUCCUUGUAUACACAAUACGAACUUACGUACCGUUCAAAUGAAAUCAGUGCAAACAAACUGAUUGACUGAAAUUUUAUUCCUCAUAGUGUAUUGUUCAUCCUCCUGGGCUCACAAGAUGCCUUCAGAACAGAGGGUUUCAUGUUCAAAUAACUGGGAAGAAAUGUGUGUAAGUCACAGGGCUCCUUAAGGUUGUGAAGGAAGAGCCUGAAAGACACUCAGGCCUGCUCUUGGACCUGCCAGUCCUCCAGGUCGAGCUCAGAGCCUGUUGUCUUUUAUGGCUACUCACGUCCUGAGGUGGGCCUGGUGGCCCAGUGCUAAGGAACCCGCCUGCCAAUGCAGGACACGGGGGUUCGAUCCCUGGGUCGGGAAGACCCCCUGGAGAAGGAGAUGGCACACCACUCCAGUGUUCUUGCUUGGGAAAACCCAUAGACAGAGAAGCCUGGCGGUCUAUAGCCCAUAGGGUCUCAAAAGAGUCAGACACGACUUAGUGCCUAAACAGUGUCAUCCUGUGGCAUUGCCUUGAGCAGAACCCCAUCCCUGUGGCCAUCAUUGAUGCGGCUCCUGGAUUAAACCAGUGAAGAGGAGGCCCUUGCAGAGAAAAGUAAUCUUUAUCUGAAGGGUGAGACGGUCGUAAAUAACCCUGAUUAGGCUAUAUCUCUUUCUCUUUGUUUGGCAGAACAAGUCCAGGUUGCUGGGUUUCAUUCAUUCAACAACCCCCCUGAGUGCCAGCAGCAUUCCAGGCGCUGUUAUAGGCAAUGGAUAUGUCAGGGCACAAGAAGACAAAAUCUCCACUCUGGAGGAAUUUCUGAUCCCCUCCUGUCCCCUCCUCCUCCCACAGGCCACGGUGCCGGGACACACCCCACCCUUGUGGCCAUCAGUGAUGGGGCCAGGAAGGGGCAUCCGAUCCAAGACAGUCGUUCAGAGGCACGGUGGGGCCAGUCAGUUCCAGGACACACACCUUGCAGCUGAGCUGCCCGGAUUCAAACCCCAACCUCCCCGCUCAUGCGUAGAGUGAUCAUAGGCAAGUUACUCAUUCACUCUGAGCUUCUAUUCCCUUCUAUGGUGAGGAUAUUGAUAAAACCUGUCUUGUAGUGUUAUUUUGAAAAUUAAAUGAGAAAGCCCACUUGAAGGCCUUAGACCAGUGCCAACUACACAACUGGGGUGCAAAUGUUUGUGGCUGGGUGUUUGCAGUUAUGUAAUGAUGGUAAUUCUUACUCUCAGAUAUGAAGAAAACUGCUUCCUUGGCUGGGCCUCGGGGCCCAUGAAAGGUUUAAGAACAAGGUUGCCAUCUGUGGGCCCUAAGGAGCAAACGAAGGGAGGUGAUCUCCAAUCAGAAAAAGGGUUCAGGGACUUCCCUGGAGGUCUAGUGGCUAAGACUGUGCUCUCAAUGCAGGGGACCUGGGUUUGAUCUCUGGUCAGGGAACUAGAUCCUGCAACUAAGACCCAGGGCAACUAAAUAAAUAAAUAUUUUAAAAAAUUAGAAAGUAAAGAAAGAAAAAGGAAAAGGGUACAGAUGGCCUGAGAGAGGUGGUCCNNNNNNNNNNNNNNNNNNNNNNNNNNNNNNNNNNNNNNNNNNNNNNNNNNNNNNNNNNNNNNNNNNNNNNNNNNNNNNNNNNNNNNNNNNNNNNNNNNNAAAGAAAAAGGAAAAGGGUACAGAUGGCCUGAGAGAGGUGGUCCCAGAUGGAGGGAGGGCGCGACCACCCUGGUGUCUGACAGUUUUCCUCCACAGGCGUGUGGCUCCUUGGUCCCCGGGUCCCAUGUUGUUCCCCUACUGAUUCCAGUUAUCUUGAUGGGGUUUUCUGUUCCUGAGAAAUAAGCAAUUCCUGACCAAGGUGAGGUAUCCUCAAAACUCUGCUGGAGAAAAGAAGAGCUGUUCACAGCAAACCCAGACUGGAGAGCAGCCCGGCCUCCUCUGCCCGGGCCGUCGGCCCACCUGCAGGCUUGCUAUCACAUGAGCCCUGCUGGAGAAGGAAGAGGAAGGAAGCGUUUGGAAGGUGGGAGAAAGGCCAAGGUGACAAGCUAAGGAGGACCCAAAGGCACUCCCGCCCAGCCCUUUGCCAGGCCUGAGGGAAACCGGCCAGAGCUAAUUAGCAGGGCCCAGAACUGCNNNNNNNNNNNNNNNNNNNNNNNNNNNNNNNNNNNNNNNNNNNNNNNNNNNNNNNNNNNNNNNNNNNNNNNNNNNNNNNNNNNNNNNNNNNNNAACGUGUCCCCGCCUCAGGCCCCUCUUCCUGGAAGGAGAGUGAGCAAGGCUGUGCCCUCCCAGCCCCUGCGAGGCCUGAGCAGAGUGUUGAUGCUUAGAGAAGAGACAGCGAGGGCAUCUGAGGAUAGCCCGGUGUGGGAUGUCGGGGGAGGGGCCGCAGGACCCAUGGGCUGUCUGGGUAGGGGUAAACCCAGAAAAUGGCCUGGGAUACGGCAGCCUUG